UUUAAUUGGACUCAACGCCGGACAUCUCACCGGUCCCGACAGUAGUAAUGACAGUCAGGUUGACGACUUUACUCGACGCUACUGAGAGGAGGUGCAUGGCCGCCGUCAGCUCGUACCGUGAGGCGUCCUGUUAAGUCAGGCAACGAGCGAGACCCACACUUCUAGUUGCCAGCAACACCCCUGCGGUGGUUGGGUACACUAGGAGGACUGCCAUUGCUAAAAUGGAGGAAGGAAUGGGCAACGGUAGGUCAGUAUGCCCCGAAUGGACCGGGCAACACGCGGGCUACAAUGGCUAUGACAGUGGGAUGCAACGCCGAGAGGCGAAGCCAAUCUCCAAACGUAGUCGUAGUUCGGAUUGCGGGCUGAAACCCGCCCGCAUGAAGCUGGAUUCGGUAGUAAUCGCGUGUCAGAAGCGCGCGGUGAAUACGUCCCUGCUCCUUGCACACACCGCC
rnacentral:rRNA from 1 species